rnacentral:rRNA from 1 species
UAGAGUUUGAUCAUGGCUCAGAUUGAACGCUGGCGGCAGGCCUAACACAUGCAAGUCGAGCGGCAGCGACAACAAAGAUUCUUCGGAGGAUUUGUUGGGCGGCGAGCGGCGGACGGGUGAGUAAUGGCUGGGAACCUGCCCUGACGUGGGGGAUAACAGUUGGAAACGACUGCUAAUACCGCAUGAUGUCUUCGGACCAAAGAGGAGGACCUUCGGGCUUCUCGCGUCGGGAUGGGCCCAGUUGGGAUUAGCUAGUUGGUGAGGUAAUGGCUCACCAAGGCGACGAUCCCUAGCUGGUUUGAGAGGAUGAUCAGCCACACUGGAACUGAGACACGGUCCAGACUCCUACGGGAGGCAGCAGUGGGGAAUAUUGCACAAUGGGCGCAAGCCUGAUGCAGCCAUGCCGCGUGUGUGAAGAAGGCCUUCGGGUUGUAAAGCACUUUCAGCAGUGAGGAAGGGUGAUGAGUUAAUACCUCAUUAUCUUGACGUUAGCUGCAGAAGAAGCACCGGCUAACUCCGUGCCAGCAGCCGCGGUAAUACGGAGGGUGCGAGCGUUAAUCGGAAUUACUGGGCGUAAAGCGCAUGCAGGCGGUUUGUUAAGCAAGAUGUGAAAGCCCCGGGCUCAACCUGGGAACCGCAUUUUGAACUGGCAGGCUAGAGUCCUGUAGAGGGGGGUAGAAUUUCA